rnacentral:rRNA from 1 species
GACGGAGGAUGCAAGUGUUAUCCGGAAUCACUGGGCGUAAAGCGUCUGUAGGUGGUUUAAAAAGUCCACUGUUAAAAAUUGAAGCUUAACUUCAAAGAUGCAAUGGAAACUUUUAAACUUGAGUAUGGUAGGGGUAGAGGGAAUUUCCAGUGGAGCGGUGAAAUGCGUAGAUAUUGGAAAGAACACCAAUGGCGAAGGCACUCUACUGGGCCAUUACUGACACUGAGAGACGAAAGCUAGGGGAGCAAAUGGG